rnacentral:rRNA from 1 species
CAUUACCUUUCAAUGCAGCAGAAUUGGGAUGGUUGAGUUUCUCGCCUCUCAAUUCUGCCUGUAUUCUACCCUUGUUUGUCAUAUACUAUUAUUUCCUCGGCAGGCUUGCCUGCCGAGUGAAACCCAUUAUAACCUAUUUAAUUUUCAAUCAGCGUCUGAAAAAAUUAAUAAUUACAACUUUCAACAACGGAUCUCUUGGUUCUGGCAUCGAUGAAGAACGCAGCGAAAUGCGAUAAGUAGUGUGAAUUGCAGAAUUCAGUGAAUCAUCGAAUCUUUGAACGCACAUUGCGCCCCUUGGUAUUCCAUGGGGCAUGCCUGUUCGAGCGUCAUUUGUACCUUCAAGCUUUGCUUGGUGUUGGGUGUUUGUCCUGAGGGACUCGCCUUAAAGUCAUUGGCAGCCAGUGUUUGGUUUUGAAGCGCAGCACAAGUCGCGAUUCAAGGCUAUACGCCAGCUUCCACAAGCCUUUUUCACUUUUGACCUCGGAUCAGGUAGGGAUACCCGCUGAACUUAA